rnacentral:pre_miRNA from 1 species
UAAUCAUGAUGAUGAUGAUGAUGAUGAUGUCGAUGAUGAUGAUAAUUAUAAUGAUGAUGAUUCCGAUGAUCAUUUACUUUAUCAUCAGCAUUAUCAUGUUCAUAAUCAUCGCAUCAUCAUCAUCAUCAUCAUCAUCAACAUCAACAUCAUCA